CCCGCUGAACUUAAGCAUAUCAAUAAGCGGAGGAAAAGAAACUAACAAGGAUUCCCCUAGUAACUGCGAGUGAAGCGGGAAGAGCUCAAAUUUGAAAUCUGGCGGCUUCGCCGUCCGAGUUGUAUUCUGGAGAAGCGUUUUCCGUGCUGGACCGUGUACAAGUCCCUUGGAACAGGGCGUCGUAGAGGGUGAGAAUCCCGUCUUUGACACGGACUGCCAGUGCUCUGUGAUGCGCUCUCGAAGAGUCGAGUUGUUUGGGAAUGCAGCUCAAAAUGGGUGGUAAAUUCCAUCUAAAGCUAAAUAUUGGCGAGAGACCGAUAGCGAACAAGUACCGUGAGGGAAAGAUGAAAAGAACUUUGAAAAGAGAGUUAAAAAGUACUUGAAAUUGCUAAGAGGGAAGCACUGGAAACCAGUAUAAUCGACUUGCGUGUAUUUUUACCGUUUGCUCCCGGAUUUGAUUAGUUGUCUUGUGCCCAAAGCCAAGCUGCUGGUCGAUGAAGGUGUGAAUGGGUCCUGUACUGCAAGCCGGAUCAGAAUCAAUUCGAUUCGUGAGAGAAAGCUAUGGCAACGGUAGUUCUGCAGGGGGCAACUCCUGUGGAAUGAUUAGUGCUGUAGUGCUAUCAUGGAUUGGAUUGAGGUACAAUCGCAAUGCGCACCACUAGGUUAUCGACUCCCCGACCCUGGUUUAUCAAGAGACGUGAACAACAAAGUUGUGCUGUUUCUGAAGUAUUCUACUGGAAAGGAUGAGUUAGACGCAGCAUUCGAGAUUCUGAUGAAAUGGUUUUCAUUGACCCGUCUUGAAACACGG
rnacentral:rRNA from 1 species